GGAGAGGGCCCUCAUUAUGGGGGCCCUGUGUCAUGUGGGGAAGUAUAAAGAUGAUAUGACUUGUAAAGUCUAAAGUGUUCCAUAGUUAGUUAUAAUUGCCUGAUUCUGACAGUAAGAUCUGUAAUUGUCCUAUGCUUCAACAAGAACUGAGAUUAUUGGCCCUUUUAGAAAAGACCCUAUACUUGUGUUGGUUGAUGCAUUAUUCUUGAUUUGGCUUGUGAGUUUUCC
rnacentral:misc_RNA from 1 species